rnacentral:rRNA from 1 species
CGCGUAGGCGGAUCGUUAAGUCAGUGGUGAAAUCCCGGAGCUCAACUUCGGAAUUGCCUUUGAUACUGGCGAUCUUGAGUGUGAGAGAGGUAUGUGGAACUCCGAGUGUAGAGGUGAAAUUCGUAGAUAUUCGGAAGAACACCAGUGGCGAAGGCGACAUACUGGCUCAUUACUGACGCUGAGGCGCGAAAGCGUGGGAGCAAACA